UGGAUAGAAGACUGUAUGUCGCUCUGGAUAAGAGCAUAUGCUAAAUAACUAAAA
rfam:Salmo salar isolate Sally breed double haploid chromosome ssa13, whole genome shotgun sequence.